rnacentral:rRNA from 1 species
AGUGAACGCUGGCGGUAGGCCUAACACAUGCAAGUCGAACGGCAGCACAGUAAGAGCUUGCUCUUACGGGUGGCGAGUGGCGGACGGGUGAGGAAUACAUCGGAAUCUACUUUUUCGUGGGGGAUAACGUAGGGAAACUUACGCUAAUACCGCAUACGACCUACGGGUGAAAGCAGGGGAUCUUCGGACCUUGCGCGAUUGAAUGAGCCGAUGUCGGAUUAGCUAGUUGGCGGGGUAAAGGCCCACCAAGGCGACGAUCCGUAGCUGGUCUGAGAGGAUGAUCAGCCACACUGGAACUGAGACACGGUCCAGACUCCUACGGGAGGCAGUAGUGGGGAAUAUUGGACAAUGGGCGCAAGCCUGAUCCAGCCAUACCGCGUGGGUGAAGAAGGCCUUCGGGUUGUAAAGCCCUUUUGCUGGGAAAGAAAAGCAGCAGGUUAAUACCCCGCUGUUCUGACGGUACCCAAAGAAUAAGCACCGGCUAACUUCGUG